rnacentral:piRNA from 1 species
GUGGGUUUUGGGAAAACAGUUGCAAGCCCUC